rnacentral:ncRNA from 1 species
UAAAAUGCUUUGAAAAAGAAGAGUACACAUUUCUCCCCAUUUAAAGAGAGUCCGCGUUGCUGGGAGCGGAUAAUGGCGAAUGUGGAAUGGGCUUUGGAGCAGCUGACCGAACGCUUUUUAAGUAGGAUCAGACGGAGAAGGCUUCGUUAACAACGUCUAAAGUGAUUUCAUUUUGUCCAUAAUGAAAUAAUCAGGGUGGCACCGCGGUUCAUUCGUCCCUUUU